AGGAUCAUAGUCAACCAUGAUAUGUAACUUGCACUUACAAGGUGUUAAAUCUUAACUGAUCUUA
rnacentral:tRNA from 1 species